rnacentral:rRNA from 1 species
GACGAACGCUGGCGGCGUGCCUAAUACAUGCAAGUCGAGCGCUUGCAACUUGAGUUUACUCAAGUUGCUUGAGCGGCGGACGGGUGAGUAACACGUGGGCAACCUGCCUGUAAGACUGGGAUAACUUCGGGAAACCGGAGCUAAUACCGGAUAAUCCUUUUCCUCUCAUGAGGGAAAGCUGAAAGACGGCGCAAGCUGUCACUUACAGAUGGGCCCGCGGCGCAUUAGCUAGUUGGUGAGGUAACGGCUCACCAAGGCGACGAUGCGUAGCCGACCUGAGAGGGUGAUCGGCCACACUGGGACUGAGACACGGCCCAGACUCCUACGGGAGGCAGCAGUAGGGAAUCUUCCGCAAUGGACGAAAGUCUGACGGAGCAACGCCGCGUGAGCGAUGAAGGCCUUCGGGUCGUAAAGCUCUGUUGUUAGGGAAGAACAAGUACCGGAGUAACUGCCGGUACCUUGACGGUACCUAACCAGAAAGCCACGGCUAACUACGUGCCAGCCGCCGCAGUAAUAC